rnacentral:rRNA from 1 species
CCUACGGGAGACAGCAGUGGGGAAUCUUGCACAAUGGGGGAAACCCUGAUGCAGCGACGCAGCGUGCGUGAAGACGUAUUUCGGUACGUAAAGCUCUAUCAGCAGGGAAGUAAAUGACGGUACCUGACUUAGAAGCUCCGGCUAACUACGUGCCAGAAGCCGCGGUAAUACGUAGGGGGCCAGCGUUAUCCGGAUUUACUGGGUGUAAAGGGAGCGUAGACGGCAGCGCAAGUCUGAAGUGAAAUCCCAUGGCUUAACCAUGGAACUGCUUUGGAAACUGUGCAGCUGGAGUGCAGGAGAGGUAAGCGGAAUUCGUAGUGUAGCGGUGAAAUGCGUAGAUAUUAGGAGGAACACCAGUGGCGAAGGCGGCUUACGGGACUGUAACCGACGUUGAGGCUCGAAAGCGUGGGGAGCAAACAGGAUUAGAUACCCUAGUAGUC